rnacentral:lncRNA from 1 species
CGAUGUGGAGGGAUUGGGAGUUGGCUAGGAAGAAAUUGGGACAGUCAAACAUGAUUUCAGCGGCUUUGAUCGGAGAGCGGAACUGCCGCACCUCGCCGCCGGGGAACACAACGCGAGCCGCUUUGCCGGUCUUGAUAAGUGGAGUUGCCAGUGUGCAGGAGACGUAGUUCCCCAUCGCCGGUGAGAAGAAUUGAGUUCUUGUAAACUGGAAUUGCUGAUUUAAGAUCGUCGAAUUUAGGUCAGAGGACGGAGAGAAAUUGUGAAGAACUUGUGUAUGGGUGGGAAGUUAGGAGGAGUAGACUAUAUAUACGGGAUGGAGGGGAAUUUCGUACGAGUCGAUACAGCUGGGGGAUUGAGGUGGAAAAUAAAAAUAAAAGAAAAUAAAAUAAACGAAUACUAAUCAUAUAUUCCUAUUCCUAUAAAGUAUUAGUAUUGUUAGGUAAUAUAAG